rnacentral:rRNA from 1 species
UACGUAGGGGGCUAGCGUUGUCCGGAAUCAUUGGGCGUAAAGCGCGUGUAGGCGGUUCGGUAAGUCCGCUGUGAAAGUCGAGGGCUCAACCCUCGGAUGCCGGUGGAUACUGUCGGACUAGAGUACGGAAGAGGCGAGUGGAAUUCCUGGUGUAGCGGUGAAAUGCGCAGAUAUCAGGAGGAACACCAAUUGCGAAGGCAGCUCGCUGGGACGUUACUGACGCUGAGACGCGAAAGCGUGGGGAGCAAACAGG